rnacentral:tRNA from 1 species
GGUUUAAGUAGUUUAAGUAAAAUGUUAGCUUGUGGCGUUAAAGAUAUAGGGAAACUAUCUUAAACCCCCA